GAUGAACGCUGGCGGCGUGCCUAAUACAUGCAAGUCGAGCGAAUGGAUUAAGAGCUUGCUCUUAUGAAGUUAGCGGCGGACGGGUGAGCAACACGUGGGUAACCUGCCCAUAAGACUGGGAUAACUCCGGGAAACCGGGGCUAAUACCGGAUAACAUUUUGAACCGCAUGGUUCGAAAUUGAAAGGCGGCUUCGGCUGUCACUUAUGGAUGGACCCGCGUCGCAUUAGCUAGUUGGUGAGGUAGCGGCUCACCAAGGCAACGAUGCGUAGCCGACCUGAGAGGGUGAUCGGCCACACUGGGACAGAGACACGGCCCAGACUCCUACGGGAGGCAGCAGUAGGGAAUCUUCCGCAAUGUACGAAAGUCUGACGGAGCAACGCCGCGUGAGUGAUGAAGGCUUUCGGGUCGUAAAACUCUGUCGUUAGGGAAGAACAAGUGCUAGUUGAAUAAGCUGGCACCUUGACGGUACCUAACCAGAAAGCCACGGCUAACUACGUGCCAGCCGCCGCCGUAA
rnacentral:rRNA from 1 species